AAGAUACUACUACAAAACAAAUUAAGAACAUUUUCUACUUAAUCAAUCUUAUACGUUAUUAAUUGUUUCUCAAAGAACUAGCUACGAAAUCAAGUUUGAUUAUAUAAAGAACACUUUCUCAUGGCUCUUGCUGCUUGUAGUUUGAUCCAAAUGCCAAUGCUUCGAACACCAAAUUAUAAAUCUACUCCAAUAAAACCUAUGACUAUUACCAUAAAAUGUGCAUAUAAAGGAAAACAAGGUACGAAAGACAGAGUUAAAGCAGGAGGAGGAAGUGGUGCACAAAAAAACAGCAUACUCCAAAGCACAACAAGAAAUCUUCAAUUUGAAAACAUUUAUGCCACCAAUAGCCUGAGUGACAUUAAUGAUCAAGAUGAUCAAAACACAAGUCCUAGAAGUAUUGGCAAAAUAGAUUAUGAUUAUGUAAUAUGAAUUUUAUUCUUUUCUUAAUUUAUAUUUUUUAAAGAAAAAUAUAAAUUUUUAUAAGAAUUCACCAUGAUUUCACACCAACUGUAACAUAGAGGUUUUGAGUUUUUUUUUUUUUUUUUUAUAAGCAAAAUGGUAUUAUAAAAGAGGUUUUUGAGUAUUAAAUAAUGUAGUAAUAAUUUUCUUCUUGAUGGAAUGGAAAAAUAAUAAUUAACCUUGAAGUUCA